rnacentral:rRNA from 1 species
CCCGCUGAACUUAAGCAUAUCAAUAAGCGGAGGAAAAGAAACUAACAAGGAUUCCCCUAGUAACUGCGAGUGAAGCGGGAAGAGCUCAAAUUUAAAAUCUGGCGGUCUCGCGGCCGUCCGAGUUGUAAUCUGGAGAAGCGUUUUCCGCGUCGGACCGUGUACAAGUCUUCUGGAACGGAGCGUCGUAGAGGGUGAGAAUCCCGUCUCUGACACGGACAGCCGAUGCUUCAUGUGAUACGCUCUCGAAGAGUCGAGUUGUUUGGGAAUGCAGCUCAAAAUGGGUGGUAAAUUCCAUCUAAAGCUAAAUAUUGGCGAGAGACCGAUAGCGAACAAGUACCGUGAGGGAAAGAUGAAAAGCACUUUGGAAAGAGAGUUAAACAGUACGUGAAAUUGUUAAAAGGGAAACGAUUGAAGUCAGUCGCGUCUACUUGGACUCAGCCUUACCUCGGUUUGGUGCAUUUCCUUGUGGACGGGCCAGUGUCCAUGUUGAUUGCUGGAAAAGGUUCAGGGGAAUGUGGCUCUUUUAGAGUGUUAUAGCCUCUGUUCAUAUACAGUAGUUGAUAUGGAGUGAUACAGCAUGCUUCGGCGGUGCUUGUACUGGCAUAAUGGCUUUAAACGACCCGUCUUGAAACACGG